UUGCCCACUUUGGACUAACAUGUGUCCUUGGUGACCAACACAGGGGGGCAAAGUAUCUCACUCUCAUAAACCUGUAGUAAAGGCACCAAUCUUUGCUGCGGAUCCUGUCGGGAGAAACAACC
ensembl:snoRNA